GACGAAGGGGGCUAGCGUUGUUCGGAAUUACUGGGCGUAAAGCGAGUGUAGGUGGUUGUCCAAGUUGGAUGUGAAAGCCUUGAGCUCAACUCAAGAAAUGCAUUCAGGACUGGGCGGCUAGAGGACCGGAGAGGAUAGUGGAAUUCCCAGUGUAGUGGUGAAAUACGUAGAGGUUGGGAAGAACACCAGUGGCGAAGGCGGCUCUCUGGGACGGUACUGACGCUGAGACGCGAAAGCGUGGGGAGCGAACAGG
rnacentral:rRNA from 1 species